rnacentral:miRNA from 1 species
ACAGAGUUCCGUAGACCACGG